UAUAGAAUACUCAAGCUAUGCAUCCAACGCGUUGGGAGCUCUCCCAUAUGGUCGACCUGCAGGCGGCCGCGAAUUCACUAGUGAUUUCCGUAGGUGAACCUGCGGAAGGAUCAUUACUGAAAAACUAUUUUUAAGUUUUUUAUAUCCCAUUGUUUACCUACUCUGUUGCUUCCACUGGACAGGUUUUCACCCUUUGGCUUAUGUGAAAAACAUCUGCCAAAGAGUUGCCAGUGGUAAGACCAUUUACCAAAACUUGAUUUACUGAAAAACACAAUGUCUGACUGUUUUCCUUUAAUGAAAUAAAACUUUCAACAACGGAUCUCUAGGCUCUUGCAUCGAUGAAGAACGCAGUGAAAUGCGAUAAGUAAUGUGAAUUGCAGAAUUCUCGUGAAUCAUUGAAUCUUUGAACGCACAUUGCGCCCUUUGGCAUUCCAUAGGGCAUGCCUGUCUGAGCGUCAGCUCCCCCCUCACUCAAGUAUCCUUUUUCUUUUAUAAAAUGUUGAUAUUUGGAUUGCUUUGGAGAGGUAACUUAUGUAUUAAGUUGCCCUCCAGAAAUUCAUAGGCAGUAUGGUUUGUACUUAAACCAGACGUAAUAAUAAUAAAAUCGUUUUGUUUGGGUAUAUAAUUAAUUGUACUUGCCUUAAGCCCACCCAUUUUUAUUUUGGGUGACCUCAGAUCAGGUAGGGAUACCCGCUGAACUUAAGCAUAUCAAUAAGCGGAGGAAAUCGAAUUCCCGCGGCCGCCAUGGCGGCCGGAGC
rnacentral:misc_RNA from 1 species